rnacentral:lncRNA from 1 species
GUCAUUAAAGCAGGAUCAGAGGACCAAAAGGCGCAGACGCGGGAGGGGACUGGGAGACAGCGCAUGUGAACCCAUCUUUCUAGAACUCAGGCUGUGAAGCAACAGAGUAGGGGGCAGGGUUAAGAGAGAGAGGAUUUUCUCAAGGGGAGCAGGCACCAUAUGUUGUCUCACUCCCAUCCGCCCCCAACAGCCAGAAACCAUGUGAGGUUCAAGACCAAUUCUUAUUUGUCUUUGUAACCAAACCUCCGACCUGCAUGGACCCUUUCUCUUGUGCAUCAGGAACUCAAUAGAUGAUUGCUAAAUUAAAUCCUUAGACUGAGUUUCUCCAUGCCUACAGUAAAGAACAGAGAUAAUUAAGAAGAUGCAUCACUUUGCCUCUAUCUGAAAAUUAUGACUCAACGUAUUUUGGGCAAGUAUAGCUCAUAUACAUCAGAACGAUCUGGGACAUUGCCUCAGCUCUCCAUUUCUAUUUACCAGUGAAGGCACAUCUAAGAUGCCAACCGUCGUUUCUCCCGCCACAAUACACAGCAGCAGCAGCUAGGAAUCCCUUAAUCGCCUUAUGCUUGUCAAGAUUCUGCAACUUUCCAGAAAUUGCUCUCAAUGCAAGGUUAUCAGCCUUCUUUGCAGUCUGAGCCAAAGAAGCAACCUCUUUCACUCCAUCCACUUCAACUAGAAGUACAUGGGACUAUCUUAAUCCAAUCUAAAGGAAGCUUAGAGAAAAAACAAGGCUUGAGAGUUCCUCUGGUUUGUUAUUCAAAUGAAGCAUGACUCAUUUAGGAUUUGCCAGGUCCCUCCGAACUACCUAUGGCCGCAUGAAGUCAUUUGACCUAUUUCCAGUGGAAAAUCCAUUUUUAUUUACAUCCUUAGGAGAAAGAGCCGGGUGCAGCUGACAGAGUCUUGGGAAGCAAGUCAGGAGACCCAGCUCCCUGCUGUAAUAACAAAUAUCAUUCACAAAUAAAUGUGAAUAAAACCAUGACUAUUUGUUGAAU